rnacentral:tRNA from 2 species
GCGGACGUGGCGGAACGGCAGACGCGCUAGACUUAGGAUCUAGUGCCGCAAGGCGUAAGGGUUCAAGUCCCUUCGUCCGCA